rnacentral:rRNA from 1 species
AUGAACGCUGGCGGCGUGCCUCAUACAUGCAAGUCGAGCGAACAGACGAGGAGCUUGCUCCUCUGACGUUAGCGGCGGACGGGUGAGUAACACGUGGAUAACCUACCUAUAAGACUGGGAUAACUUCGGGAAACCGGAGCUAAUACCGGAUAAUAUAUUGAACCGCAUGGUUCAAUAGUGAAAGAUGGUUUUGCUGUCACUUAUGGAUGGAUCCGCGCCGCAUUAGCUAGUUGGUAAGGUAACGGCUUACCAAGGCGACGAUGCGUAGCCGACCUGAGAGGGUGAUCGGCCACACUGGACCUGAGACACGGUCCAGACUCCUACGGGAGGCAGCAGUAGGGAAUCUUCCGCAAUGGGCGAAAGCCUGACGGAGCAACGCCGCGUGAGUGAUGAAGGUCUUCGGAUCGUAAAACUCUGUUAUUAGGGAAGAACAAAUGUGUAAGUAACUAUGCACGUCUUGACGGUACCUAAUCAGAAAGCCACGGCUAACUACGU